AUGGAGUCGGGCAACCACCAAACAUUCAUUGUCUCCGUGGCCAUGACUGACGGAUUGGAGAGCGUUGUGUCCAUGUCCUCAGGAGUGGCCUUUGCCGCCACCAAGGCCGUGUCUGCAGCUGCCUUCGCCAUCGCUAUCUUUUCCUCUGCCUCACGUCCGUGCUGCCUUUGGCGGUGCUCCUUCGGCAAGGUUCUCCGCCUUGCAAGGAUCCAAAGCCAGCCGGGGACCCCGACUGAUUCCAUCGAGGCAUCAUCCGCGCACAUGGAGGCAGACAUGACCGUUGGCGAUGACAUCAGCGAAGGCGGGUGA
rnacentral:rRNA from 1 species